rnacentral:lncRNA from 1 species
CAAAAAGAGGCUCCUGCUGGGCUGCUUUAUGAAUGCGGAGGCCUUCAGCCCUGAUUAAAUUGGGUAACCAGCUGUUUUCCAGAGCAGACGGAGAAAUCCUUGGAUCGGUACUGUUCCUCUUCUCGGUGUUAGGAUGCUUGUAAUAAAUGAAUGAAAACACAGUGUAUAUUUCACUGUGGCCUUGCUGAAGGGAAAGCAAUCCUUCAGCUGCAUUAGAAACUGCUCUAGUGGGGACAAGAAAGAAAAGCAAAGGUAAAGAUCAAUUUUCUCCGAAGCUGUCUUUUCUCUCCUUUGUUUUACUUUCCACCUCCAGCUUCCAGGGUUCCCUCCCAUGAGCUGUCAUCUGUUGUGUCACUAGCAGGGCUUUAUUCUCAGAGCCUGCAGAUGUUAUUAAAACUGAGGAUUAUAAGGUUAUGAAGUGUGUUGCAGAAGCCGGAGACAGAUUAGAUGUUUUUUAUUAGAGGAUUACCAAACUUUGUUAACAGGGGUGAGCCCGAACAACUCUGCAGGAAGUUUCUGCCAUGCUGGUUAUGGAACAUCUGAUCCCAAACAGCUACAGAGCUGCCCCUUAGCCAGGCCCCGGCCCCCGGCCGUGCUUCGUGCUCGUGGUGUGUGGAGCUGGGCUGUGCAUAAGGUCCUCAGGUGCUCAAGUGAGAGAAAC